UUUUUUUUUUUUUUUCACUAUUGUAUCUCCGGCAUCUGGAAUUUAUUGAAUGAACCAGUAAUUAAAGUACAUUAAAUACAACUUCCAUAAAUAUAAUCUAUGAUAGCUUCAAAGGAUUUCUUAUGGAUCUGUAGCUUUCAAAAAUUCCAGCAAGGAAUGGAAAGCAGAGAGAAUGGUAGUCAAACAAGAACAUAUGGAAUUAGUUCAUUCGUCCUUUCUUAAAAAAGUCAAAAACUCUGAGUUAAUAGAGCUUAAACCAAGUUUAGAGGGAGAAAACUAAAGUAAACAGAAAAGGAAAGCAUGGGAUUAAUAAGUUUAAUUAUAAAUAUAAUGUCUUAUCUAAACCCUCUUGAAAAAAUAAUGAAUUAAACAGUGAGAAGAAACUGAAUAUUACUAAAAAUAACAGUAAUACUGAUAGUAAGAAGUAGCUUAAAUGGAUAAUAUAAUUUAUAUAAUUUAAGGAGUUCCUGUUGUGGCUCAGCAGUUAAUGAAUCCGACUAGGAACCACGAGGUUGCAGGUUCAAUCCCUGGCCUCACUCAGUGGGUUAAGGAUCCAGCGUUGCCAUGAGCUGUGGUAUAGGUCGCAGACAAGGCUCGGAUUCCACAUUGCUGUGGCUCUGCUGUAGGCUGGUGGCUACGGCUCUGAUUAGACUCCUAGCCUGGGAAUCUCCAUUUGCCACAGGUGCGGCCCUAGAAAAAGACAAAAAAAAAAAAAAAAAAAAAAUUGUGUAAUUUAAAUGUAAAAAUAUCUUGACAUUCAACUUUACAAAACUGAGAGACCAAAUGAAUAAAUAAAUCCGAGGAACAGAUCCUGAGCAAAAUCCAUCAUGCAGCGUUAGAGGUUAGAACAUCAUUACAAGGGUAUUAUGGGCUUGCUCUAACACUCUCAUAAGCAACCUAUAAACUUCUGGAUACAGGUAUUAUAUAUAAAUAGAAUUUAUUCUAUUAAAUACAAUUAUUUAACUGAAAUUUGUCAGGGUUUAAGCUUUUUAUUUAAACUGUUUAAUCAUGAGGGAGAAAAAUGAUUUAAUACAAAUUCAAAAAUGAACUUUUACAUAAGCAAGAAACUCAGGAAGCUUACUUUACAUCAAUGUGUAAAAUCCUUUGUUAGUCUGCUUUAAAAUGCUUUUUUAAAAAUAAAGUCAUAUUCUCUUGGCCUGAUUUUAUAAAUAAACUCUUUCAGAAAGCGUUUCUCUUUUUCAACCCAACUUGUAGAAGAUGUAGUAUUUGCCAUAAGAAAUUGGCUAGCGUGUUGCUAUGGGAACAAUGUUUUAAUAUAAUUUUAAAACACUAGUAGCUUUAAAGAACAAUGAGGUAAAGGAAAGAGACGUGGGAAAUGAUAAUCCUAGUAUUUCACAAUACAACCAUUAUAAUCAUGCUGCAACAGAGCUUCUUAUACUUUUUUCAUUCUAUACUUAAGAGAAAGUAUUAGGACAUACUUUAGGCACCAACAAGAGAGUAUUAGCAAAGGCAGAUUAAAACCAGCUCUUUUGAGGAAGAAUAAAGAGACGUAAUGAGGUCCUUCUCCCAAGAGUUAAAGAAAGGAAAGGAUUCUCAUGUGAGGUAAAACUAUUAAAAGACCAUCCCCACUCAUACCCUGGAAAGCCCUCAGAAUCAAAGCAUAGGUGUUCCUUCAACUCAAGCCUGGAGAAAAUGGGGCAAAAGGAAUCAAUUAAAUAAUAAUUGAUUGGAGGUAAGGCCUUAAAAUGUUCCAUACCUAAUUACAGAUGCCUAAGUGGGUUUUUUCCCCCCUUAAAUCUUACCUUAAUAGGGUAAUUGGAGAAAAAUAUUUUAAACAAGUGGCUUAAGUUUAUCUGUAGUAAUAAACAACUAUAUAUAAAAAUAUAUAUAUAUUUUUUUUUGUCUUUUUAGGGCCGCACUCAAGGCAUGUGGAGGUUGCCAGCCUAGGGGUCUAAUGGGAGCUGUAGCUGCCGGCCACAGCCACAGCAAUGCAGGAUCCGAGCUGCGUCUGCAACCUACACCACAGCUCACGGCAACGCUGGAUCCUUAACCCACGGAGCAAGGCCAGUAGUUACAGCUCCAAUUUGACCCCUAGCCUGGGAACCUCCACAUGCUGUGGAUGCAGCCCUAAAAAGACAAAAAUAAAACAAAACUCAUCCUUUUUUACCAUUAAUUGAAUUUGCCUCCCUCAAAUCAUUGCCUAUAAGACUAAAUAAAUAUUUGUUGAUCAUUUUAAAUGUCUGCUAUAAGCAGAAAGAAAAAAAAAAAGAGUAAGGGCAAAAAAAUAUUUAAUCAUGAGUUCCCAACGUGGCUCAGAAGUAACAAACCUGCCUAGUAUCCAUGAGGUCUCAAGUUCGCUCCCUGGCCUCGUUCAGUGGAUUAAGGAUCCAGUGUUGUCUUGAGCUGUGGUGUAGGUCAUAGAUGUGGGCCAGAUCCUGUGUUGCUGAGGCUGUGGUGUAGGCCAGCAGUUGCAGCUCCAAUUUGACCCCUAGCCUGGGAACUUCCACAUGCCAUGGUUGUGAGGAAGAAAGGAAGGAUGGAUGGAAGGAAGGAAAGACGGAAGGAAGGAAGUUUCUGAGCUUCAUCCACGUUACUAUGUGUAUCAGUUUACUUUUUUUUUUUUUUUUUUUUGUCUUUUUUGCCAUUUCUUG
rnacentral:lncRNA from 1 species